CAAGUAACCAAUGGGAAAUAUCUAGGAAGUAUUUAAACACCAGCGAAUUCUGUAACAGGGCCUUUGAGCCCCUUGCUCGGGCCUGCUCCCAACCUAUGGAGUGUGCUUUCAUUUUCAGUAAAUCUCUACUUUCGUUGCUUCAUUCUUCCCUUGUUUUGUUUGUGCGUUUUGUCCAAUUCUUUGUUCAAGAUGACAAGAACCUGGACACCCUCCACCGGUACAGCUGCCUAAUGUCACGGAGAUGAGCCAGCCUAUCAGCUAAAAACAGGUUUCAACUAUCUGCAUUGGAAGAUACCUCCCAUUCAAACCAUGUAAGAGAAGAGUGUGGCUACAUUGCAAAGCAAUCCCAUAUGAGAUGGAUUGCCCAAGCUGAUCUUGAAUUUUAGCCUCCAGUGAUCCUCCCAUCUCAGCCUCCCAAAGCACUGGAAUUAGAGGCAUAAGCUAACACACCUGGUCUCAACCUGUAAAUCAUUAAGGUGACAAUAGAAAAUUGAUAUUUUUGUUGUUAUUUCAUUUCAUUGUGCUUCACUUUACUGUGCAUCAUGAAUAUUGCAUAUUUUGCAAAUUGAAGGUUUGUGGCACCCCUGCAACCAGCAAAUCCAUCGGUGCCAUUUUUCUAGUAAUGUGUGCUUACUUCAUGUCGCUAUGUCAGAUUGUGGUAAUUCUCACAAUAUUUCAAACUUUUUAAUUAUUGUUAUAUCUGUUAUGGUGAUCCAUGAUUUGUGAUUUCUGAUGUUAUUCUUGUAAUUGUUUUUGGGAUGCAACAAACCACACCCAUAUAAAACAGAGAGCAUACUCCAUAAAUUUUGUGUGUAUUCUGACUGUUCCACCAACCAACCAUUAUCCUGUCUCUUCCCUCUCCACAGGACACCCUAUUCCCUGAGAUGCAACAAUAUUGAAAUCAGGUUAACUAAUAGCCCUUAAAUGACCUCUUAGUGUAAAGGUGAAAGGAUGUGUCACACAUCUCUCACUUGAAGUCAAAAGCUGCAAAUGAUGAAGCUUAGUGAAGAAGGCAUGUUGAAAGCCAAGACAGACCAAUAGCUAGGUCUCUCUUUCCAAACAAUUAGCCAGGUUGUAAGUGUAAAGGAAAAGUUCCUGAAAGAAAUUAAAAUUGCUAUCACAGUUAACACAUGAAUGAUAAGAAAUCAAAACAGAAUUAUUAUUUGUUAGAUACAGCUAGAUUCCUAUUCAAACAGUUUGUUCAAUUCCCCUGUUCUUUAUUCUCUAAAUUCCAAGUACCCCCCACCCCCAGCUUUUGCUGCACAGUAACCUGUCUAAACACGCUUACACAUGAUAAGCCCCAGUCCACAUUUCUUUUCUUAUGUGGAAUAGGUUAGCUUUCUAGUCCCCCACAGGUGACCUCUUCCUCCUCUCCCUCUCUCCUCUAUCACACACAUGCCUUAUCCAAGAAAGUUUAAGUGAUUAGCCAAUCGGGACUAGUUUAGAGUCUGUGGUCCAACCCCAGCCAAUGGGGGAAAGAUACAGAGGUAGAAUCUGCAUUAGGAAUAAAAACUCCUACUCUCCUUUGUUCUGUGUGCUCUUGUGAUCAUGACUGAUGCAGGCAGCACCCUUCUGCAGAAGUAAAUUUGCCUUGCUGAGAAAUCCUUUAUCUCAGUACUGGUUCUUCUUUGCAGCACUGUGCAUUUGUUUCCAACAUUACUGAUGUGGAGAAAGUUAUAGUGGUCUGGAGAGUAGAUCAAAGCAGCCACGACAUUCCCUUAAGCCAAAGUCUAGUCCAGAGCAAGGUUCUAAC
rnacentral:lncRNA from 10 species